GACGAAGGGGGCUAGCGUUGUUCGGAAUCACUGGGCGUAAAGGGCGCGUAGGCGGCUUUAUAAGUCGGGGGUGAAAGCCUGUGGCUCAACCACAGAAUUGCCUUCGAUACUGUAGAGCUCGAGACCGGAAGAGGUAAGUGGAACUGCGAGUGUAGAGGUGAAAUUCGUAGAUAUUCGCAAGAACACCAGUGGCGAAGGCGGCUUACUGGUCCGGUUCUGACGCUGAGGCGCGAAAGCGUGGGGAGCAAACAGG
rnacentral:rRNA from 1 species